rnacentral:rRNA from 1 species
GGAAGAUAAUGACGGUACUUGAGGAGGAAGCCCCGGCUAACUACGUGCCAGCAGCCGCGGUAAUACGUAGGGGGCUAGCGUUAUCCGGAUUUACUGGGCGUAAAGGGUGCGUAGGCGGUCUUUCAAGGCAGGAGUGAAAGGCUACGGCUCAACCGUAGUAAGCUCUUGAAACUGGGAGACUUGAGUGCAGGAGAGGAGAGUGGAAUUCCUAGUGUAGCGGUGAAAUGCGUAGAUAUUAGGAGGAACACCAGUUGCGAAGGCGGCUCUCUGGACUGU